AGAAUCAACGCUGGCGGCGUGCCUAACACAUGCAAGUCGAACGAGAAAGUGGAGCAAUCCACAAGUAAAGUGGCGCACGGGUGAGUAACACGUGACUAACCUACCCUUGAGUGGGGGAUAACCUAGAGAAAUCUGGGCUAAUACCGCAUAAUACCUUCGGGUCAAAGGAGCAAUUCGCUUAAGGAGGGGUCGCGGCCGAUUAGUUAGUUGGCGGGGUAAUGGCCCACCAAGACUAUGAUCGGU
rnacentral:rRNA from 1 species